ACGCGUGAGUGAUGAAGGUUUCGGAUCGUUAACUCUGUUGUUAGGGAAGAACAAGUGCCAUAGUAACUGAUGGCACCUUGACGGUACCUAACCAGAAAGCCACGGCUAACUACGUGCCAGCAGCCGCGGUAAUACGUAUGUGGCAAGCGUUGUCCGGAAUUAUUGGGCGUAAAGCGCUCGCAGGCGGUUCUUUACGUCUGAUGUGAAAUCUUACGGCUCAACCGUAAACGUGCAUUGGAAACUGGGGAACUUGAGUGCAGAAGAGGAGAGUGGAAUUCCACGUGUAGCGGUGAAAUGCGUACAGAUGUGGAGGAACACCAGUGGCGAAGGCGACUCUCUGGUCUGUAACUGACGCUGAGUGAGCGAAAGCGUGGGGAGCGAACAGGAUUAGAUACCCUGGUAGUCCACGCCGUAAACGAUGAGUGCUAGGUGUUAGGGGGUUUCCG
rnacentral:rRNA from 1 species